CAUACUUAUAUAUUUAUGAUUCUUUUUAUAGGUAAUAGUACUUAAUUGUAUUACUUACAUUUAUUUAUAUUACAAUAUUUGCAUAUAAAGAAGUAAAAAAAAAAGUAGAAAGUUAUAUAGUAGAACAAAACUAGAAAAGAACGGAAAUUGAGUAAAGUCAAAAAGUCCAAAACCUAGUCCCAGUUCUUUCUCUCCAGCCGCCACAUCCCUCCACGUUUCCUUUGUCAAUUCUCAACACAAAUCUUUAUUACUCCAUAUCAAAAGAUUAUAAGGGGUUCUUUGGUGUUAUGCAAUGGAGAAGGCUAAUUGAUUUUAUUUUUUUUAAUUACGCAAUGGAGAGGCAAAAGUAUUGUAUAUAUUUUAAGUGAUGGUUCCUCUUGUAUUAUAUCUACAUCAACAAGAUCUCCAUAGCUGAUAUGUUAUAGAUUUGAGCAGUUUUUUCUCCUAUUUAAAUCUCAUUCUUUUUCUUGCGGAUCUCACUCUUUGUCACCCUAUUUUUGGUUACUUUUUUUCAUUCCUCUUUAUUGUUUUUAAUGUACACUUCAACUUUCAUUUGUAACUUAUGUUGGACUCAGUAGAAGCAUUUUUAUUCUUCUUCUUAGUUAAUAGAGAAGAGAAACAGUUUGAAUCUUUAUGUUCAUUUGUUAGUUUGGUAUAUUAAUAAUAUUUUAUUCAUUUUUGGUUGAAGCUUCUAAUAUGCGAUUCAGGAGAAGCUUUUGAUGGAAUUAAUCUUGCUCAUUUUUCAAGGCAAAAUUAUGGCAUUACUAGAGCAGCAAUGACAAACUGGGCAGAUAUUGAUCAAAUUAAGAUGCAAUUGGAGGUUGUGUGGGAGGAGAGAAAUUAGAAGAUCGUGGUGGUUCGAGUCUCAAGCAAGAUAAUGCUAUUGUAAUUGGUGUCAUAGAUGAAUUAUGUAUUGUGAAUGUUUGAAAAUUUAGAUAUGUAACAAUGUGUAACUUGAGACCUAUUUUGUAAUCCAAAACUUUUGAUUCAUAUAGAAGAAUUAUUCUGAUUAGCAAUG